GACGAACGCUGGCGGCGUGCUUAACACAUGCAAGUCGAACGAUGAAGCCGGAGCUUGCUCUGGUGAAUUAGUGGCGAACGGGUGAGUAACACGUGAGUAACCUGCCCUUGACUCUGGGAUAACUGCGGGAAACUGUAGCUAAUGCCGGAUACGACCCUCGGAGGCAUCUCCUGGGGGUGGAAAGAAUUUCGGUCAAGGAUGGACUCGCGGCCUAUCAGCUAGUUGGUGAGGUAAAGGCUCACCAAGGCGACGACGGGUAGCCGGCCUGAGAGGGGGACCAGCCAGACUGGGACUGGGACACGGCCCAGGCUCCUACGGGAGGCAGCAGUGGGGAAUUUUGGACAAUGGACGCAAGUCUGAUCCAGCCAUGCCGCGUGCGGGAAGAAGGCCUUCGGGUUGUAAACCGCUUUUGUCAGGGAAGAAAAGGUUCUGGCUAAUACCUGGGACUCAUGACGGUACCUGAAGAAUAAGCACCGGCUAAC
rnacentral:rRNA from 1 species